ACCAGACUCCUACGGGAGGCAGCAGUGGGGGAUAUUGCACAAUGGGGGGAACCCUGAUGCAGCGACGCCGCGUGGGUGAAGAAGCGCCUCGGCGCGUAAAGCCCUGUCAGCAGGGAAGAAAAUGACGGUACCUGAAGAAGAAGCCCCGGCUAACUACGUGCCAGCAGCCGCGGUAAUACGUAGGGGGCAAGCGUUAUCCGGAUUUACUGGGUGUAAAGGGGGCGCAGACGGCGAUGCAAGCCAGGAGUGAAAGCCCGGGGCCCAACCCCGGGACUGCUCUUGGAACUGCGUGGCUGGAGUGCAGGAGGGGCAGGCGGAAUUCCUGGUGUAGCGGUGAAAUGCGUAGAUAUCAGGAGGAACACCGGUGGCGAAGGCGGCCUGCUGGACUGCAACUGACGUUGAGGCCCGAAAGCGUGGGGAGCAAACAGGAUUAGAUACCCCCGUAGU
rnacentral:rRNA from 1 species